rnacentral:rRNA from 1 species
UAUGUCCUGUUUCAAAUAUAGUAUCUAAUGUAGACGAAUUAAUUUGUGUACAAAGCUAGAGUACGUAAGGAAAAGGAAAGGUUAACCGCUAUCAAA